UGCUUGGUACCAUUCAAGACUCCAGAGAUACAGCAAUAUACAGAACUAAUGCAGAGCAGAAACAGGCAGGUCAUCUCUCAGACAUGACACUUUGAUAGGAAGAGAAGCCACAGAUGUAGGAGAAGGGACACAUGACAUAGAAAGGGAAGAACUAGUACUGGGCUUCUCUUAACAGGCUUUAAAUACUAGGGUGUUGCUCAAGGGAAGAAAAGGUCUUGGAUGUGAACUGAGCUCCCUCUGUCACUACAAUCGGAACAGCCUGCUUGUCCUUUCUUGUUGGCCAGCUCUCCAGGCCUUCUGCACAACUUUAUAGUGACCAGAGGAACACAGAUGAGCAAGCACCCGCGCCAAAGGCUCCCUGCUGAGAAACUCCAGUGUUGAAUAGAAGUGGUGAGAGCAGACAUCCUUGUAUUGUUCCUGAUCUUAAGGGGAAAGCACACAGUCUUCCACCAGAGGUUUUGACCUUUAGGAGAGAGCCAAUUCUGGAGAACAACCGAACUUCUUUGGUUGAAUACUCACAUAAUGCAUUGGAACAUGAUAGGAGAUUAAGGUUUAUUAGUGAUAAAAUGAAGAUCAAUAAAACAGUCCCCUACUUAGACCAGGAGCUUCUACCAUUGAAGUCUAAACUACUCGAUGAAGAUGUCUUUUGAAAGGUGUACUGCAAGGAAAGAAACGCUGUUUGUAAAUUAAGCUUUACCAAGGUAAACAUCACCAACUUCUAUGAAUUCACUUUCUAUUUGUAAAAGGAAAAAAUAACUUCAUUUAUUCAAUAUGUUCAGAAAUAUGAUUAAAUGUUUACUUGUAUUGACUUCAGCUGACACAGGAAAGAAGUGCUUUCCUUUUGCUCGUAUUACAUGUCUUUAUGUUGCUAACCUGUGCCACACGCUUGGCAUGUCAUAGGCUUUCCUUAAGCGUUCUACGUGGAAAUGAACAUUGUCAUGCUACUUGGAAGCUUCUGAGAGACGAGUAACUACAUACUCUGUCAACAUUAGGGUCUUUAAAUACGGUUUUUAACGCAUUCUUUCUUUUCCUAGAAGAAAGGUGUUUGCAUCUUCAGGUGCUAGAGUGCAAACAAGCAAACCUUGGAGUAAAGUAGCAGCACAUAAUGGUUUGUGGGUCUUGGAAAUGUGCAGGCCAUACUGUGCUGCCUCAGAAAUACAAGGGUCUGGCCUCCCUCCCGAGGAAAUGCUCCGCCCGCAGCUCCCGCAGCAGUGACGUCAGCAGUGCCUUAGCAGCACGUAAAUAUUGGCGUUUGAGUCUAACGGUAGCUCCAGUAUUGACUGUGCUGCUGAAGUAAGGUUGGCCAUGCUCUGCGGUCCUGUGUGUUCAUGAUCACACUUGUGUUUUCAGUCGCACUGACAGUGCAUUUUUGGUUUGACUAAUAGUCUUGUUAUGCUUAGUAUGAAUCUAUAAAAACAAGUUAAUACUAACUUUUCAGAUGUAUUGUGUACAUUAAAGCUGUAUGAUUGCAAUAUAGUAAGUUUGUUGAAUGCCAUCAAGAAUGUUGAGUAGAGCUUACACAGCAUCAAAUGAAUGUAUUUUAAUGCACAUUUAUAGUCAUGUAAAUAUUCAGAAUUUUACUUGAGAUUUAAAAAAAUGUUUUCCCUUUGUUUCUCUAGUAAGAUGAGAUUAAAGAUAUUUGCUUAUCUCAUAGAUAAAUGUACAUUAUGAAGUAUACAUUUUGAACAGAACUUAGACAAUGUUUAGUAAUGUUUCUAAACAUUUUCUCAUAAGGGAAAGGGGAGUCAUCAACAUGUGAAUUAAAUUCCUGAAAUCCUAAGUCCUAAAGUGCACCUAAUCAUACCUAUAAAGAUAGGAAAGACCUUAGAGAUGACCAACCUAUUCAUUGGGUAGCUCAGUAAACUCAAAUAGUACUUGGUUACACAUAAAAGAUUGGGAUCUUAAUCCUAAGCCUUCUAACUUUAUACUGUCAAUAUUGUUUCUUCCUGCUUUCAUUAAAAUGAUUUUUUAAAUCCUUAGCCAGAAUAAAAAAUAAAAAAAUAAAUCCUUAAGCAGAGAUUUUUGUUAAACAGUAAAGUCAAAAUUAUGACAGCCUUGUUUGCUUUACUAUACCCAAUAUAUAACUUGAGUAAGACCAGAAAUUAUUAUAAUUAUUUAAUUUAUAUAUACAAACACAGUCAAAAAUUUUAAUUUAAUUAACAAUUUAAGAAAAAUACUUACAUUCUAAUCCUUGCUUGUUGGUGUUCUCUUAAGUCUUUAAACUAAAAGUUGAUGUUCAAGGUGAGUGUGUUUGUGUAGGUACCAUAAUUCUGGUCUGGAAUAUCUUACCCUUUUCAAUGGUAAGCAAACAGAAAAAUCUACAAAAUAUAAGACAAAGCUCUCAUUUUUAAGAACAAUCUCACUUUUCUUCCAGCAAAAUAAGGAAACAAUAUACCAUAUAGACUGUGGCUAGAAUUUAAAUGCCAGCUUUUACAUGGAAAUAAUAUUGCCUUGGUUUUUUUUUAAAUCACUUACCAAGCUUGAUUUCUUUUACUUCAUUUCAACCAUUUUAUGAAAGGCUGUAACAAAGACAUGAUAGUUUUUGGUUCCACUGAAAAUAUUCCAGGGUCUAACAUGUAGAGCUUAGAAAUAUUUAUUGAAUGAAUUACAAAGUUUGUCCAAUAUUUUCCUAAAUAACCUAAGAGUUAGGUUUCUUUUUUGUUUUUGUUUUCCUAGGUGUAUUUGAAGUCAGAUUUCAGAAAAUUGUAUUUAGUUUAAUCUGCCUUCUUAAUGACAGAGAGAAAACCUAGAUUUUCAUUUACUUGGUGACUGUUUAUAUUUUGGUGCUCCAGAUGUGGUGGACCAUUUGGGGUCUGUUGUAGCUAAACAAAAACUUCUCUUCUUUUAAUUUCGAGAAUGAAUUUUUUUUCAGUUGAAAUAUUGGGGGAAUAUUCAGAAAGAUAAUAUAGACAAAUUGUUGCAUUGAAACUUACUGUAACAGUACACAGCUUCCUUCCGGUUUCUUCUUAGAGAAGAGGAAAUAGCCUGUCAAUACCUAAUGAAACACACAUUUAGAUAACUCAGCCAGAAUGGGGUUUUUAGUGGUGGCUAAUAUACUUCCAUCUUUGUGUAAUUUUGAAACACAUAAAGAGCAAAUAGUAAAAUAAAAAUUUUACCCUUUAACGUUAAUCUUAAUUUGGCUAUUUACAAACUAAAAGUAGUUAUAUAUGGGUGUAUAUUAAGUUUCAAAUUUUUCCAUAUUUGAAGAAAAAAUCUCUAAUCUUUUUCAUUCAGGUUUCUUUUUAAGUUGAUGCCAAAUAAUUCAAUAUUGAGCAUCUUAAAUCUAUUACUUAGAGCAUGGAUUGAGUAUGGAUCUAAUUCAGAGGGUCUCAGGCAAGUAUCCAGGAGGUAGCAAAAGGAGUAUUUUAAUAAUAGUUCAGCGAUUCAGUUUUCAUCCUAUAUUCAAGUGCGAAUCUCUUAAAAUCACACAUAGUGAUAUAUGAUAGUAAAUUUGAAAAUUUGGCCAUAGACUAAAUUUGAUAUAUAGCAGUAAAGAUUUUCUUCAAUCAAUUAUAUAUCCUUUUUAUUGUUAAAGAAUAAUGGGUAUUUUUAAGCCACUAAGUAUCACUGCUGAUACAAGCCCAGGUUAGCCAAAUUGGAUUAGCAAGAUUAUACUUUUAUAAACUAUGACCUCUAAGUUUAAGUAUUUACCUAGAAGUUGACAUUCUAAAUCAAUUUUUUUUUUCCUUUUGCAGGUGGCUAUUAACUAUUCCUUAUUCAUGGAAAAGGUUUUAUUCUAAGUAUUAUUUCUCACUGAUUACUAACAGAAAGGAGAAAAAGUUAAUGACCUAAGCUUUUGAAAUAUAUUUGGCUCUAGUAAGUAUUUAGACAUAACUACUUGCCUGUCUGGCAGAAGAAAUAAGAAAUCAUCACCAGUAGUACAUUCCGAGAUAAAAAAUUUUAUUUUCUACUUUUUGAGGGACUUAACAGUUCUGUUCUAUUACUGAUAGCUUGAGCACUUUUAGUGCAGAAUUAACUCCCAUACCAGAAAUGUAAGGAUUUAUGUUCUUACCUCGUUUAUUUAUAUAAUAUGUCCCACAGAUUACUGUCUUUUUAUUUUCUAGGCUAUAUGCAAUAAAGAAAAUGUUGUUAAAAUAAAUUAAGUUUAAACCUUUUAUGUUAAAAUUACUGUUCAAGAUGACAAUUUAGUUGCUGUUUUUUUGUUUUUAUUAUACUGAAAUUAAAUUCAACAUUUAUAAUUUC